CGUCAAAUCAUCAUGCCCCUUAUGAUUUGGGCUACACACGUGCUACAAUGGCAGGAACAAAGUGAAGCGACCCCGCGAGGGCAAGCGAACCACAAAAAACCUGCCUCAGUUCGGAUUGCAGUCUGCAACUCGACUGCAUGAAGCUGGAAUCGCUAGUAAUCGCAAAUCAGAAUGUUGCGGUGAAUACGUUCCCGGGUCUU
rnacentral:rRNA from 1 species